CCUGUUUGGAUGUUAAAAAAAGGAGGGGGAGUAGAGUAGAGGGAAGGAGAGUAAUUCAUUUACUUUGUUUGGAAGUUUUUUAAGGAAGGAGGGGGAGGGAUUUGGAGGGGUUUGGAGGGGUUUCAACUACCUCCAACCCCUCAUUUUUAAUUCCCCCAAAUUGGAGAGAUUUGGAGGGAGAGUAAAGCACAUAAAUUAUUAAAUAUGUAAAUUACCUAAUUUACCCUUAUUAUAUUAAAAAAAUUACAAGGCAUUUUAACGUUAAAAAAAAAAACACUGUAACCCUCAAGGUCUCAGUUCUCUCAAGCUCUCUGUGUUCUCUGUGUUCUCUCAAGCUCUCUCGGCGCUCAAGCUCUCUCGGCUCUCUUAGCUUACACUGGCUCUCUCUCUCUCUCUCACAACUUCUUCACUGUUCUCUCUCACGCCUACCAUUCUCUCACAAAGUUGUCAGGCAUGAUACAAUGUCAUAUGAGGCCUUUAAUUCAAAAAUUGGCUGUACUGCCAAUGCUCACAAUCUCUUGAGCUUGCCUUCAUUAUUGCUGAGCGCCUAAGGAGGAGGAUCACAUCACCGCAAGCUCUUGCCCUCUAGGCUUCUACAGUGAGGCUUUAAGAGCCCACCAAUGUGCUCUUUUUCUUACGUUAAUAGCAGUUAUAUUAGCAUUAACACUAUUGGAUUUUCAGUUAUUUAUGUUGUGUAUUGUGUGUAUACUAAAAGGAAGAGUGAUGGUUUGAGACACUAUGAAAUCACAGGGGAAUAAAUGGAUAACAAUUUAUUUAUUCCAUAAGAAUAUAAGAUAUGAUUGCAUUUUAUU